rnacentral:rRNA from 1 species
UACGGAGGAUCCAAGCGUUAUCCGGAUUUACUGGGUUUAAAGGGUGCGUAGGCGGAUUGAUAAGUCAGUGGUGAAAUCCUGCAGCUUAACUGCAGAACUGCCAUUGAUACUGUUAGUCUGGAGUAUGGUUGAGGUAGCUGGAAUGUGUCAUGUAGCGGUGAAAUGCUUAGAGAUGACACAGAACACCGACGGCGAAGGCAGGUUACCAACCCAUUACUGACGCUGAGGCACGAAAGCGUGGGGAUCAAACAGG